ensembl:lncRNA
CAACAUCACAGCCAGCGGAAAUAAAAAUAAUUAGCAGCUGGAGUGCCAGUGGAGUGUAUCAUCCAGUUUUCUGAAAUUAUUAAUGACACAUAAUGCCUUUUUUUUGUUGCGUAGUUUGUGUUUGAGGAUACGAGCGAUUCCACUGACCGCAUUGGAGCGCACUGGUGGAAGACCCACGUAGUUUCCAGAACCUGCACUCCCAACUUCGUAUCAUCUGACCUUCAGAGCGUUAGCUGAUCAUGCAUUGUGCGCCAUAGUUUGCACUUUGGAAAUCGAUUUCACGGUCAUUCAGCUCCAGCGUUCACGGACUGCUGGAUAAAAAGCUGCAGUACACCAACUACCCCUGGAAGAUUAAGUUCACGGCUACUUGGAUUAGUGUCUACAUGGAAGUGGUGGUGACAGGGUUAAUUUACUACAGAAAGCUGUUAAAAAUGGGAGCAGAUACUGUAUUUAAGAUUUGAAAGAUCUCUGCAGAAAGAAUGAGAUGUGGUCCGGCCAGGGUGGA